rnacentral:rRNA from 1 species
GUGAGGAAUAUUGGUCAAUGGGCGCAAGCCUGAACCAGCCAUCCCGCGUGCAGGAAGACGGCGCUAUGCGUUGUAAACUGCUUUUCCAGGGAGAGAAACUUGCGCACGUGUUGCGCAAUUGACGGUACCCUGGGAAUAAGCAUCGGCUAACUCCGUGCCAGCAGCCGCGGUAAUACGGAGGAUGGGAGCGUUAUCCGGAUUCAUUGGGUUUAAAGGGUGCGUAGGGGGACUAUUAAGUCAGUGGUGAAAUCCUGCAGCUUAACUGCGGAACUGCCAUUGAUACUGAUAGCCUUGAGUUUGGUUAAGGUAGGCGGAAUGUGUAAUGUAGCGGUGAAAUGCUUAGAUAUUACACAGAACACCAAUUGCGUAGGCAGCUUACUGAGCCGACACUGACGCUGAGGCACGAAAGCGUGGGGAUCGAACAGGAUUAGAAACCCUGGUAGUCC